UUAAAAUUAAAUGAAUUAUGUUCAUCAAAGUACUUUUUUUAUAUUAUGAAUAAUGUUAACAAAGAAAAUAGGAAAUAUUUUGCAGCGUUCAGGUUUGUCGCUAUUAAUUAUGUAGUUAUAUUGAAGUUACUAAAUUCAGAUAAAGUAGUGAUUUUUGCAUUGUUUGUUAAGUGUGAAAAAAGGAAAUGAAACACAUCAGACAUUUCAAAUUAAAACAUACACCAUUUCCAGCCAGGAAGUUGUAACAUUUUGAUUCAAUAAUCAAUAUGUGGAGUUCUCCCGCAAUGAAAAAUCCUAUGUCGUAUAUAUUAGCAUGAUACGACAUGCAGUGAGUUGUUGUUAUGAAUUAUUUGUUGAUAUACUUUCCUAUGAUAUUUAAUGUGCAAAUGUGCUUCGAUUUUGUUAGAUUAAUCAAACUUUUUUAAUAAGAUGUAACAUACAGGAAUUUUUUCAUUUGUAUCAAACGCGCUUAUUAUUCCAUAUUGGUAUCAGUGCAUACGGAUAAUCUUAGAUCUGGGAAGCGUAUGGUCCUCAUAUGGAAACAUUCACAUAAUAAAACGUCAAUUUCAAAAAGAAAGUAAUUUGGUGUUGCUUGUUGUUGGAAAAUUUAUUCAAUACUUUAUAUUAAUUAGUGUUCAAACACCCGGUAAUAUGAAGUUUAAAGCAAAUACUGGACUACUGUACGUGUACCUAAUUUUGAUACUGAUGUUGUUGCAAGUUAUAGGUAUGGUGGCUUGCCGAUACCAAGGAGGAGGAGGAGGAGGAGGGCGAGGAUUAGAAGAAAAUUUCGAGAUGAAUCAAUUGCAUUGGGAAGAACUCACCUAAGAAUGAUUCAGCUUUUUGUAUAUGCAACUAAAACUGAAUGCAUAUUUAUUUUUUCGUUUCAGACAUUCUUCAUGAAUUUCCUAAAAACUUGAAAACUGCUAAUUCUAAUAUGUUUUGAAAAUUUCUGAAUAAAAAACAAGUUCAAUUAACGGUCA